GCCUUGUGGCAAAAUCUGGAAGGUCCAUUGCCCACCCUCCAGAGUGAAGGCAAAUUGGUCCUCACUGCCAGCGUCAGGGUGAAACUUUAUAGUCAUUUGCCACAAUCCAUCUGACUUCUGCGUGGCCAUACUGAAGGGCUCUGUGCAGGGAAUGUCACCUCUGCUUUUUCUAAUUUCAGGACAGUCUAUCCCAUUGCUUCAUGACCUCUAGGCAGUCAGUGUUCUUUCACACACACAACUUGCAUGGCCUGUGGGAGAAUCAGUAGUGUGUGGUGUGGAUGUCCUUGGACUAUGGUUUUUACCAUGCAAAUUUGCAACCAGAAUUCUCCAUGGGUGUUGUCAAGCCAAGCACCAGUCAGUAUGUCCACCCACAGCAUGUAUUCAGCAGCCAGGGAAACAUAAACAUCAUACAAGCAUAGGGGCAAAAUGCCGAAUACCAAAAGUCACCUGGGCCUCCUGGGCUGUGACAUAGUGACCUCCAUACCCUUCUGUGCAUGCAGUAGUUCCUGUAAAACAGUCUGGGUUGACAUAUACUAGCAUUGACUUGGCUCUGGUGUCCACCAACACUAGUAUAUACUGCACAUUUUGUGGGGACCAGUGGAUAAUCAAUUCUACAUAUGGCCUCCCAUCUGCCAGCACCCCUAAGACCCGGGUACCUUGGCCUGCCUCCUGAUUGUGAUAAGAAGAGGCCAGUAUCACUUCUUCCUGCUUCACCCAGACUGCUUUGGCCUUCUGGCCCUUGCCCAUCAGCUGCUAUUGCUGCUUCCAAACCAGCAGCUGGUCAACUUGCCAGACAAGCCUUCUUGUUUCACGGUGAAGAGGAGAAAUUUGUCUAAAGCUUCUAAAGUUUGCAAGACAAGCCUGGGCUUCAAACAGAUUGAUUCCCAAUCCUCUUGGGCCUUCCCAGCUGCCAAGAAGAUGGCUAUAGGUAGGCCUGGUGAGGCUGGGGGUUGUUUAUCAACCAUUUCCCGCUCUCCCUCACCUUCGAGCACUGUUUCCACAGCUGCCACAAGACCACCCACCUCAGUGUCCUGCCUACUAUACCAGUCGUCAGCCCACUCGGGGCUCAAGGGAGAUUUUUGCAGGUAAGGUCGCCAGGUUAAGGAACACGUGUGCAAGACAUCAGCAAUAGCAGGCAGCAUAGAGCAGAGCAGAGUGCAAAAGCCACCUGCAUCUUUGUUGUAUAAUUCUUGUACAGGUUGUUAUCUCAUGUUUACAUUCUUACAUAGUGCUGUAACCAGCGUAUGCGUGUUUACGUGUGCUAAGUCAUGGUUACAGAACGGUAUCCCCUGUGCACCUGUGCUAGACAAGCAAAGCCGCAUCUUCAGGUGUCCUUAGACACCCCUGAGCUUUGAAGCAGUCUGAGCGAUUCCCCACACCCAGUAAGAGUGCUGAAAUUAAUUUGCAUAAUAGAUACAAACCUGGCAAUAUUGGCCAACAUCCACAGCAAUAAUCAGUUACAUUCCAGUAGUCACAAUGUACAUUUCUGUGGACAACAAUCUACUUUAUCAGUUUCCUUCGGUUUAUGUAAAACUGUAAAGUAGCUCAAAAGUGAUUAAGAUGGAAACAAUCCUGAAGAGUGGGCUGGAUACAGCACCUCUGAAGAGCAGGGAUGGACUUAUUUCAGAGUCCUUCACAGUGUUUACUGAUACCCUAUUGUCAGAUACGGGUUAUAUCCAGUUCUUUGCUUUUAUUAAAAUGAAUUUUAAAACCAGUACAUCUUUGAACAUGUAAUCUUUUUCCCUUCUAAAUGCCUUCUUCUAGGGUAAAAUACUAGAAGGGGAACUGUAGGGUAAGAAAAGAUUUAAUGUCUUGACUUACAUUCGCAAGUUGUUAGACCAGAGUUGUUUUUUACAUCCACCCUAAAAAAACAACACCCAAGUCCCAACACAGAAAAUGAGCCAUCAUUAACCAAGAAUCUUCGAUUUUUCCAAAAGCCCUAUGCUGUGAGUUGAAGGUUCCCACUAAGGUUUAUAUGUUGGAAACUUGAUCGCUGGUGUGGCAGUUUUGAGAGGUAGGGUCUAAUGGGAGGUAUCUGAGUCAUUAGGGCUUUGCUCUCAAGAACAGAUUAAUAACAUCAUAGGAGUGGGUUUGUUAUUGUUAGAUUGUGUUCACUGUAAAAGGAUGAGUUCUGUUCUCUUGCCCUCCUCUCUGUCUUUGUCCUUUCGUCUUCCUUUAGGGUGUCACCACAGAAAGGCUCUUGCUAGAUGCCAGCACCUUAAUGUUGGACUACCCUGCCACUAGAAGUGUGAGAAAUAAAAGCUGUGCUCAUUGUAAGUUACCCAGUCUGUGGUAUUCUGUCAAAGCCACAUGAGCAGGACGAAGAUACCACCCUGAUCUGCCAUCUCCCAUUUCACUGGAUAGAAUUAAAUCUGUAGAGAAUUGCAUGGUCUGGGCCAGUCAAGACCCUUUCCCAGGUCUGGGAUAGGACCCUGAGACUCAGGGAGCCCAGAGCCCGUGAACAUAACCAUGCAGCUCUGUGAAGUGAGACCUAGCUGGAAGUGGUUUAUGUUGCUUAAUGACUAUAUUUUCAUUUCUUGUUUUAGUUAUGAGAAACAUGAUAGUUAUAUUCACAGACUAGGACUCAGGAAAACUUGCUUCUAAUUCUCGUCCCUUCUGCUAAGGCUUAGACAACAAACUAUGCUGUGCC
ensembl:lincRNA